rnacentral:rRNA from 1 species
CCUACGGGAGGCAGCAGUGAGGAAUAUUGGUCAAUGGGCGUGAGCCUGAACCAGCCAAGUAGCGUGAAGGAUGACUGCCCUACGGGUUGUAAACUUCUUUUAUAAAGGAAUAAAGUGAGGCACGUGUGCCUUUUUGUAUGUACUUUAUGAAUAAGGAUCGGCUUACUCCGUGCCAGCAGCCGCGGUAAUACGGUGGAUCCGAGCGUUAUCCGGAGUUAUUGGGUUUAAAGGGAGCGUUGAUUGGUUGUUAAGUCAGUUGUGAAAGUAUGGGGCUCAACCGUAAAAUUGCAAUUGAUACUGGCAGUCUAGAGUACAGUUGAGGUAGGCGGAAUUCGAGGUGUAGCGGUGAAAUGCUUAGAUAUAACGAAGAACUCCGAUUGCGAAGGCAGCUUACUAAACUGCCACUGACAUUGAUGCUCGAAAGUGUGGGUAUCAAACAGGAUUAGAUACCCCAGUAGUC